AUACGGAGGAUGCGAGCGUUAUCCGGAUUUAUUGGGUUUAAAGGGAGCGUAGGUGGGAUAUUAAGUCAGCUGUGAAAGUUUGGGGCUCAACCUUAAAAUUGCAGUUGAUACUGGUUUCCUUGAGUACGGUACAGGUGGGCGGAAUUCGUGGUGUAGCGGUGAAAUGCUUAGAUAUCACGAAGAACUCCGAUCGCGAAGGCAGCUCACCGGGCCGGAACUGACACUGAUGCUCGAAAGUGCGGGUAUCAAACAGGAUUAGAUACCCUGGUAGUCCGCACAGUAAACGAUGAAUACUCGCUGUUUGCGAUACACGGUAAGCGGCCAAGCGAAAGCGUUAAGUAUUCCACCUGGGGAGUACGCCGGCAACGGUGAAACUCAAAGGAAUUGGCGGG
rnacentral:rRNA from 1 species